GGCUCAAGCUCGGUCCUGAAGGAUGUCGUGAAAAACCAAAAAGAAAAAAGAAAGAAAAGAAAAAAAAAAUCAAAACGAAGAACACAUGUUGAAUUCGUUGUCAAUAAAGUCGUCAAGGGUAUAGUACUUUCAAGAAGUAAAAGUAAGAAAAGAAAAAAAAAAGUUUUGAAAAAUACCGGUGUUGAGUCAUUUCCUGAUUCAAGGUUUUAGGGGUAACCGAUGUUCAUUUCUUGAUAAAGCAUCGGCAUUCAUAUUACUUGAACUCUCAACCUUUUCAUUUCCCCUCAAAACAAGGAUUGCCACGAAUAUAAUACUGGGGUAGUUUGCAUCGUGAUAUGUGCUCAAUGAUCAGUUGAUUGGGGAGAUAAAAAAAAUAUAAAAAGGAAAAUAAAAAGAAAAGAGAAAGAAAAGAAGAAAGAAAACGAAGUCGAUGUGUCAAUUGCUAUAGAGUUUCGUCCCAAGGUUAAGGUCGUGAGAAACUGAAGCAAGCAAGAUUCAGAAUGACGUGGGGCCGUUUUGUUUCUUUCACCCAAAUAAUAAAUGAAAUUUAUCCCAUUGUACCCCCUUUGAGCUAAAAUUCAUAAUUGUUUCAUCACCCUGGAUAAGAAUCAUUGACAUGUCAAUGUCAACCUAAAGGGUACAUCAGGGGCAUCCAAAAUCAAAGAGAAAAUUUCUGAAAAAACAUUGAAAGGAAAAGUUGCAAGAAAGUCAUAAACAAGGGCAACGGAACGAAUGAUCUAAUAUAAAAAAAAAAUAAGAACAAAGAAAGCAAAACGAAAAUGAAAAUAAAAGGAUGCCCGAAUUUUCAAAUCCCUGGAAGACCUGUUGACUUGAUACCUUGUAGAUGAUUCUUGUUAAGACAAUUUAACCAUCAAACACUUAUUUGGGCCUUCAUUAUCCAUUUCUUUCAAAACCCUUAGCCCCUAGCCACGAUACAAGCCAAUUAAAGUCCACGCCGACUGAAGACUGUUUAUCGUGAUCUUUCUCACAAACUUAACUCUAGAACAAAAUGAUGUGGGGAAUGACGCGAUCACUUGGAAAAAAAUAAUAUAAAAAAAAACAUAGAAAAAGAAAAGACAGAAAGAUGAGAAGUCUCCCCGUCAAUCGAGAAUCACCAAAUGGGGGAAAUCCUUCCUACCCAAACCCUUCCACCUCUCCAAAACGUACUUACUGUGCAAAAUUGGAGCAGUGUUGUGAGCCCAGCAUGUUAACAACACUUCCUCCCAGAUAAAAGACACACAAAUAUAAUUUUGCUCACAGAUAAUCAUUUUGCCAUCCACCUUUCAUACCCACUCCCCACACCUUCAAGCGUCCAAGCUAGUUUGAAUUGCAAAAAGCGAUAAAGGGAAUUUGAACCCCUGGUUAGGCUCUUUUCCUUCCCAUCAGGGGACUCACUAUCUCUUGACAUAAUUUUCAAUGAAUGCAUUUUGAAUGUACAUCGAGUUUGACGACAAUAUUUGAUAGAAGCAACUUCUAUCAUCAAGAAGAAAUGGCUUUCUGAUCGAGAGGUGGCAGCGGAAUUGGAUUUGCGAAUGAAAGUGGUUAAUGCACACCAGGUGUUUGUGAAAAUGUUUGGGCGAGUUUUGCAUAUGGUGUUGGUAGAAUUAUAGCUUAGGCAGCUUUCCUAAGGGGAAAUGAGCUAUAGGAUGCAAAGCUAAAGCUAGCAUAGUAUUUGAACUUGAGAGAAGUGGCUGAAUUUUGACAGCAUAACACGAAUUUAUUUCAAGUUAAGUUUACACAUGGUAGAGCUCUUCUUUUAUAGGAUGUAAGAGUUGAUGAACCGUGCAACACAAGAUAUGCAAAGCUUAUUCUAAACAUGUUGCAACUAUUAGCUAUGGUGCAAAGUAUUUUACAUGUGGAGAGCAUUUAACACGUGCUAGAAUUGAAGAAGGUGGCUUGUGCAAGUUGGCUAAGCGCAUGUUACAUCCGAAAGCCACCUUUCUUCAUGUUGCUUGCUGUCUUCAAUCCGUAAACCAUUUCAAAUCCAUCUUCCUUGGUCUCCUUUGCUCUUUCUUAGCUUGGCUAGCUUCUUGAGUUGUGUAGGCAUAGUUUCCUACUUUUAUUUGGUCACCUACAAAGCAAAGAAAAGUACUUAGUUUAAGUAGAGUCUAUCUAAGACUUAGAUAAGGAAAUAGUUUUGGAAAUCUAUAUUCUACUUCCCUUUCUUUAGUCUUAGAUUUAGUUGAUACUUCUUUGGAUGGUAAGUCCCUAAAGGGGUUGCCAUCAUUCCCUCCCUCUUUAAAAACGAUUUGUCCUCAAAUCAGGAAGAAUUAAAGAAGCACAACUUUGGUUUUUGUUGUCCGCCUGGAUAAAAGAUAUAUCUACAAAAGAUAGCAAACAUGAGUAUAAUGAAGAUGUAAGCAAAGAUAAAAAGACAAAAGAAAAGUCUUGUAUUGAAAAAUAUUUUCUGAAAGUUAGUCUUGGAAAAAUGGAGAAUUCCAUAUUCCCAAGUUAUUUAAUUUUUAUUUUGAGUUACUUGUUUACACAAGGGUAACAUUAACUCAAGAUUUGAAUUGCCAUGUUUUGAAAGGGAUUGCAAAGAAUAUGGAAUGACAAUUGUUUUUAAAGAAAAAUUAAUAAUGGAAGAGUGCAAAAUAAGUGGAAAAGAAGUAAAGAGUGAGAACCCUUCCCUUUUAGGUUCCAUUGUUUUAGUAAGAGUAGGGUUUGCCAUCGGUAGCAAGAGUUCCUUCUCCUUAUGUUCCUCUUCUUUCUUCUUUUCUUCUUCUCUUUUCUUUCCCUCUUCUCUUCUCUUCGUCUCUCUUUUCUUUCUCUCUUCUUCUUCUAUUUCUCAUUUCUCUUCUUCUUCUCUCUCUUUUCUCUUUUAUCUCUCUUUUCUCUUCUUCUUCUCUCUCUCUCUUUCCUCUUUAUCUCUUCUUCCCUCCUCCUUUUGUCUCUCAAUAUCUAAUCUCUUAACUUUCAACUCUAGUGUCUCAACCUUUAACUCCUUAAGUUUAAUUUCAAAUUCUAAUUCUCUAAGAAGGACACCUUUGUCAUUUAAGCUUUCAAGAAAUGUUUUUCCAUCUUCAAUGUAAGCUCUUAGGGAUUGUAGGUUUCUCUUAAUGGUUGAAGGCACAAAUUCCUUUCUGAUGCAAUAUUUGAGUUCAUACCAAUCAUGGAUGGGGGAUUUUCUACCUAUCCUAACAUGAUACUGCCUUUCAUCCCACCACUCUCUUGCAUGCAUUUCAAAUCUAGAUGUGUNNNNNNNNNNNNNNNNNNNNNNNNNNNNNNNNNNNNNNNNNNNNNNNNNNNNNNNNNNNNNNNNNNNNNNNNNNNNNNNNNNNNNNNNNNNNNNNNNNNNNNNNNNNNNNNNNNNNNNNNNNNNNNNNNNNNNNNNNNNNNNNNNNNNNNNNNNNNNNNNNNNNNNNNNNNNNNNNNNNNNNNNNNNNNNNNNNNNNNNNNNNNNNNNNNNNNNNNNNNNNNNNNNNNNNNNNNNNNNNNNNNNNNNNNNNNNNNNNNNNNNNNNNNNNNNNNNNNNNNNNNNNNNNNNNNNNNNNNNNNNNNNNNNNNNNNNNNNNNNNNNNNNNNNNNNNNNNNNNNNNNNNNNNNNNNNNNNNNNNNNNNNNAAUAUCCUCUCCAAAGAAUGGAAUAUUUGCCCUAGCUUGUUUAUAUAACUCAUCCUCAAUCCUCUCAAAUUCAUAAAAUGAACAAGUUCUUCUUCUAGCUUCAUCAAGUUUGCUUUUAAUUUCUUUGAAAGUAAUUGGUUGAUGAAGACUAGAAGACCUAGAGUGUGGCUGCUGUAUCACAAAAUGCUGGUCCAAAAUGAUGAAAAUUUGCUGCUGAAAACUGGUUGCUGAAACAGUUUUGUACAACCAAGGGAGGUGCUCUCAAAGUCCCAACUUUUUCUUGCUUUAACAAUGUUUCCACUCCUUAGUAUGCUACCCCUUUUGGAGAAUCAAACUGGUUGCUAGAACUGCACCAAAACGUCACAGCAUCCUGCCACACACCAAACCAGUCACAAAAAAAAAUUUGCACUGCACCAGAAUUUAAAUUCGCAUACCAGGUUUGGUGGCACAAAUUAGAGGUCAAACAAGGUGAUUUCAAGUAGUUUUAAGCUUUGAACAUACUCAGAAUCUCCAAAUCAUUGGUCCAGUUGUGAUUUUCAAGCAAAAAUUGGAGCUGAAAUGGUUAUUUUUGCAGAUGUGAUGAAAAAUGGACCAAACAACAGUGGAAGCAAGGUUGCAUUAUCCAAUUGUAUAUGCACAAACCGUCAAACAGUACAGUAUCACAUAGAAUCAACAAUUGGUAGUGGCAGUUCCUAGAAAUGCAGAAAUUUCCACUAAAAUUGUUGUAGAAAUGAGAAAUAUAACAGAUUCAAUGUUAGUUGGAUCAAAGAUCAAACAAGAAAAGACUUAAGUAACUAGAUCUAGCUUGAAGAAUAUGAGCUAGGAGAAUUAAAAUUCCUAAAACACAUCAAAGAACUGAAGCACGGUGCAAAAGCCGCAAAAUAUGAUGACAGUUUGCUGAAAACAGAGAUUUGAUGAACUCGACUACUCUUUUUGUGAUUUAUUGAUGAAUUUUGAUUCUUAAUACUUGAAACAUGUAUAAAAGCAUCACAUAAACUUGUCUCAAGUAUUAAAACAUAUGAAUCUGGAAAAAAAGAAUGUACACAUGAUCAAACCAGAAUUGAGUUUUGAUGCAGAAUGUGCAAACGGAAACUCUCGGUCAAUGGUCUAAACUUCUAUGAUCAAAGCUAGGCAAUGCCUCAUUGCUUUAUGUGAUCCAAAUAGAGCUAGAAAAUGCAUUGAUCACAUGGAAAAACGAAAAAAAAAAAAACAUGCGCGAAACAGAUUCGAAAUUGUGAAAGAGUAAAAACUGCUAACAAAUGCAUAUGACUGAUGACAUAACUGGAAAAUUGAAGUUAAAAGUUGAAGGAACUGAAAACAAUUGAUAUGCACCGAUUAAAAUGUAGAAGACACACUAAGGAUCAGUGAAUGCAAACAAACAUUCACUCAAACAGAAAUAAAUCUGAAAAAAAAAUGAAACAGUGACAUUCAAGAACAGAACAACACGGAGAAGUGAAAAACGAAUUGCAAGAGUGACUUAGCUCGUGUAGAACCGCUUGGACGUGCUGGCUCUGACUACCAAAUGAUAGAAGUAGCUUCUAUCUUCAAGAAGAAAUGGCUUUUCGAUCGAGAGGUGGCAGCGGAAUUGGAUUUGCGGAUGAAAGUGGCUGAUGCACACCAGGUGUUUGUGAAAAUGCUUGGGCGAGUUUUGGAUAUGGUGUUGGUAGAAUUAUAGCUCAGGCAGCUUUCCUAAGGGGAAAUGAGUUAUAGGAUGCAAAGCUAAAGCUAGCAAAGUGUUUGAACUUGAGAGAAGUGGCUAAAUAUUGACAACAUAACAUUAAUUCCAUUUAAGUUAAGUUUACACAUGGUAGAGCUCUUCUUUUAUAGGAUGUAAGAGUUGAUGAACUGUGCAGCACAAGCUAUGCAAAGCUUAUUCUAAACGUGUUGCAACUAUUAGCUAUUGUGCAAAGUAUUUUACAUGUGGAGAGCAUUUAACACGUGCUAGAAUUGAAGAAGGUGGCUUGUGCAAGUUGGCUAAGCACAUGUUACAUCCGAAAGGCACCUUUCUUCAUGUUGCUUGCUNUCUUCAAUCCGUAANCCAUUUCAAAUCCAUCUUCCUUGGUCUCCUUUGCUCUNUCUUAGCUUGGCUAGCUUCUUGAGUUGUGUAGGCAUAGUUUCCUACUUUUAUUUGGUCACCUACAAAGCAAAGAAAAGUACUUAGUUUAAGUAGAGUCUAUCAAAGACUUAGAUAAGGAAAUAGUUUUGGAAAUCUAUAUUCUACUUCCCUUUCUUUAGUCUUAGCUUUAGUUGAUACUUCUUUGGAUGGUAAGUCCCUAAAGGGGUUGCCAUCAAUAUUGACAACAGAUUCCAAACAUGGAAUUUUCAAAAAAAUAAUAAUAAUAAACAAACACAAAAAACAAAAAAAAAUGUAGAAAGAAGAAAAAAUGAAGAAUGAGAGAGCGAGAACAAAUGAAAGGAAUGAAACAAAUGUUUAUGCACUCAUGCAUCCUCAUUCCAUUACAUCAUACAUAUCAAAAGAAGCGAGGAAAAUUUUUCAGAAAAUCCUCAUGUUGCUCAACAUUUACUAGCAUUUCAAAAAUUUGAACCAAGUUUUUCUUCUAUGAUAGUUAAUGAUCACUCUCAUUCACUCAUUCGCCCAUGGGGUUAUUACACCCUCCACGAGGUUGUUACACCUCAGUCUUUCAUCCGUAGGGUUGUUACACCCUCCACGAUGUUUGUACACCUCAUUUUUCUCAAGCACAACUUUGGUUUAGCAUUUUUAAGCCCAAUGUUAUCUGGCACCUUGAGUUUUGACCCUCUGCUUGGCAAUGGUCAUUUUUAGUUUUCUUCUGCAAUUAACCCUCUGCUUGGAAAUGGUAAUUUUUAGUUUUCUUCUGCGAUUGACCCUCUGCUUGACAAUGGUCAUUUUUUUUAGUCUUCUUCUACGAUUGACCCUCUACUCUGCUUGGCAAUGGUCAUUUUUUUAGUUUUCUUCUGCGAUUGACCCUCUGCUUGGCAAUGGUCAUUUUUUAGUUUUCUUCUACGAUCAGCCCUCUGCUUGGCAAUGGUCGUUUUGUUUUUUUGUUUUUGUUCUGUGAUUUCGGCCCUUAGCUUGGCGAUGGUCGAAUCCAGGUUUUCACUUUGUGCUAUCGGCCCUCUGCUUGGCAAUGGUCGUUUUUUUAGUUUUUGUUCUGUGAUUUCGGCCCUCUGCUUGGCAAUGGUCGAAUCCAGGUCUUCGCUUUGUGCAAUCGGCCCUCUGUUUGGCAAUGGUCGAAUCCAGGUUUUCGCUUUAUGCUAUCAGCCCUCUGCUAGGCAAUGAUCAUUUGGCAUCGUGACUUCAAUCAUUUUUGUUUGUUUUUCUUGCGUGUUUGAAACCUAGACGAAAUUAGUUUUUAUAUCUUUACUUAGCUUUACUUAAAUAAUACGAAAAUGUCAAAUUUUCAUAUUAUCCAGUAAAUCUAAGUAAAGAGGGGCAGCUGUCAACACCCAAUUUCGUCUGGGUGAUUAAAUAAUAGGACUUGUUUUUAUUUUUAUUUUAUUUUAGUUUUAUUAUAUUAUUUUUAAUUUUUAGUUUACCUUGAUUUAGUUUUUUCUAGGUUUAAUACCUAUUUUGGUCUCUCUUUUCGGGGGAUUUGUUCAAAGUGGUCCUCCCUUUUGUAAAAACUUCAUUAAAGUCCUACUUUUUGCAAAAACUGUGCAAGUUAGUCCUUUUUGCUAACAACGUUAAUUCUGCUAACGGAAAAACUACCAGUUGGCAAAUAUUUGAUGACUUUUACAAAUAAAAUUCGUUGUAGUCCUCAUAUUGGUUUAAAAAUAUUUAUUGUGGUCCUCAGUUUAAAAAUGUUUAUUGUGGUCCUCUUUUACUAAAAAAAAAAUCGCCGAACGAAAACCAAACAAAACAUCAAUUCCCCGAGGUGAGUUUCUGUCCGAGUGUCACUAAUCUAUUUGAUUUUUAGUGGUUACAAUAUCUGCGACUAGUAUCAUUAUUCAAUAUGAUUGCAUUAUCUGCUCAAGCAUUUCUAGCAUAAUCACAUUUCCAUCUCUGUUCAUAAGUACACCUUGCCCAGAAAAGCGAUAAAAAUUACUUAUUUGUUUCUCGUCUUCAAAAAUCAUUGAGCUCCGUUCAUCAACCUACACACAGAAUUUGUCAUAGAAAACAUAGCAUCAUCAUCGUUUUUUCACUCCCUCACUCUAUCUCAUACUACCCCAAAUUGAUUCACCCCUCACUCGAACCUCCAUCUCAACUCAAAUAUAACAUCAUCAGAAAUAUUCACACCCAGCCAAACAGAAUAGGUCGCCGGAGAAGACGGGUUGAUGAGGGUGGUGAGAGUGGUAGUGACUAGCAGCUUCGCCGGCGGUAACACGUUGCUCUUAUUGGGUCAGAGAGUUGACGCUGAAUAAUUCUAUUUGGAAGCAUUGAUUCAAAAUUAAAAGGGUGCAGUCACGACCAUCUGCAGGGUUAUUAGCAUGUUAUUUUUGGAUUUUCAUUUUAUCCUUUGAAGGGCCCACAUGGAGACCACUUUCUUAGCUUGAGAGGUGUUGAUUUCAUUCACUUUUAUUGAGCCACGGUGAUGCAACGUUGCUGCUCAAAGCUUAGUUUUAUUUUUAUUUUUUAUUUUACAGAAUGAUAAGUAUAUUAGGUGGACUCUAGGAGGAUGGGACAUCUCAAGAAGGUGGCAGCCGAGUAGAGAUAUUAGCUUUUGUUUCUUGUAGAAUGGAGAUGUGAUUGGAUGGGAGUAUUGAAUGUUGUACCGUGAUUGAGUUGAGAGAAGAAUCUUAGUUGUUUGCAUUGGUCCGUUGGGUGGUUGGAAAAGAAACAUUGCAAUUUCUUUUUAUUGAAUAAAGUUGUUGAAGGUGAUUUAAUUUAGGGGGUGCACGGUAUUGUCUAGAAGAAGGGUUUCCUUGCAUUUUCUUUUUCAAUUAAGAUCUUUGCAUUUUGCUUGAAGCCAUUUUGCUUGGAAUGAUGGGACGUUGUUGGUGGCUUAGGAUAUCUAGCUUUCACUUUUAUUUAUUAGAUGAAUGAGAAAUGAUUUGGUGGGGUAGGGUUAUUAAAUGCCCUGGAACUUUCAAUUCUUCCUUUCCUUUUGGAGAUGGGACAAUGGUGUUGAUUUUAUUUAGUUUUCAUUGGAUUUCCAAUUGCAAUUGAGAAAGAAGGAUGUUUGAUGAAGGUUGAAAAACAGUUAUUUUCAUAUGUCAUUUUAGACCAAAUUACUCCCUUUACUGCUUGGAAUGAGCUUAGAAUCAAGCAAAACUCAAUAAAUGAGUCUGUAGAGAGUCAAAAGCUGUUUUUAGCGAUAUUAUGCUUGUUUUGCAUUGUUUUGCAGUGUUUUUGAUGAAAGUGAAGAAUGAGGUUGUAGAUGAAGGUCUUAGACUCAAGAAAGAAGAAGAAACAUGAAGAAAAGAAGAGUCUAGGAACCACCCAACGGUAAAAUUAACCGCUGGGCGGCCAAAUGCGAGGAGAAGGCACUGUCUGACACCCAGGCGUGCACGCUGGGCGGAUUUGCGUUUAGAGGCAAACCACCGGGCGGUGGUGCGAUUAUGGGCAAACCGUCGGGCGGCAUAAAUGUGACGCCGGGCAGUUCUCUGCUGGGCUUGGACCUGUUUUAUUUUAUUUUUAUGAUCUGUUUGGGCUUGGGCUUGUUUUAUGUUAUUUUUAUGCCCUAUUUAAAGGCCAGAACGUCUUAGGGUUUGUAUCUUUUGAUGGCUUAGGCACAAAAACACAUUUUUCACCCCUUUGGGGUAGAUUUGGAGAUGGUGACAACUCUCCUUUUCUCCUUUUUAGGGUUUGUAUCUCUUUCAUUCCAUUCUUCACCUAGUUCCUCCAUGACAACGGGGAACUAAUCUUAUUUGUUGCAGGGAAAACAAUGUAAUCUUUUGAUACUCUCUUUUAUUGAAACUCUUGUUUAUUUAUAUGAUUUUCAUAUGCGUUGAUUAUUAAUUGUUGGGUUCUCAUCUGUGCUUAAUGCUUUUACUGUUUAAUUCAUUCGAUAACUGUUGUUUGUCUUUAUUGAUACGGGGACGUACAGUAAUGUCAUGAACUGGUGAGUGAUUCCAUGAUUAAGCAAUACCACCUAGGGAUAGGGGUAGGACGAUCAAUUGUUUUUCACUUUUGCUCUAUAAUGCAUUAUUAAUUACUAGGGGAGGGUAGGGAUAGCAAGCCAGUAAUUAGUAAUAGGCUCUUUUCGCCGAGGGAUCGGGUUAAGGGUAGGCUGAUGAGCUGUCGCAACUCACACAAAUUUGAUGUGCAAAUAAAUGCAGUAUAGCUAGGGAAUGACCCCUAGGUCGUCUCCCAAAGACCAAUUUUGCAGUUCAAGAAUCGAGUCGAACAUGAAAAGGGGGGUUUGUGAAAAUAGUUUUGCAAAAAUUAAAGAAGUCAAUGAAGACACAGAUGCAAACAAACUAAAUUAAGCUAGCAUGGUAAUUAAACUAACACUAUUAAAAACCUUAGACAACAUUCAAACAAAAUAAAAUAAAAUACUAGACCCCAACAAGACAACAAACAACUACCUAACACAGUUAAAUUAAUUUAAAUGCAAAACUAAAUUAAAGAGAUGUAAAACAGCUAAACAUAUUAUGUGAACUUAAUUUAAACAAAACAGAUAACAACAUAUAUUAUUUUUUUUUCAAUCACGUGACCAAGUGGUCUUUCUCCAAGGAAGCAAAUUAAAGAAACCUUUUGAACAUGGCUAGGCACCUUGUUACCGUGCUGCACCAAUUCAACCUCGAAAAAGAAAUUCAAUUCUCCCAAACGUUGUUGUAGCUUUGCCGUAACUCUUUCAUCAAUUGUCAAUUAAAUGGCCUUGUGACUUGGUUCCAGCGGGCUUUUCAAAGGAAAAGAAACACAAUUGACCAUGUGCUUCCAACUCAAUGGGACCCUUGCCUAUUUUCAGCUGCACCCAACAUCCCAUCAAAGAGAUAGCCCCCCCUUCCUAGCAAUGUUGUAAACCGUGAGCCAAUAUUUUUCCUAGCAUAAAAAAUUUUCUCCUAAGCUGCACGUGGCAGCUGCCACCAAUUCUAAGCUUCAAAAUGAGAUUAAAUUCUUUUCUUCCAAGACGUGGCAGUAGCCUCUUCUAAUGAAACAAUUGCUUUGCUUGAGUCAAACAUAAAGCAUUAAAUGAACACCAAUCAAAGCUAGAGUAACUCUUCCAUCAAAUCAACUCUUCACUUCUUAAAAUUAAUUGGAACCACAAGCAUCUAAUCACCAACUAAUCUCCUCUUUAAUAUUCGGACAACUCCAUUCCCUAAGACAUCGUGUUCUUAUUGAAUGAAAUAACAAUUAAAUGAUAGAACUUUCUUUCAUCAUUCAGCAACAUCCCAUCACCUCAAGCUAAUCCCCUCUACACUCAUUCAAAGUAAAAGAAAAUAAAUGUGCGUUGCAGCAGCCGUGACACAAGGGUUUAAGAAUCACUAAGACACCAACUUUCCAUAUUAAAAACAAUCGUUCCUUGCUUCAUGUGGCCCACGGCAACAGUUGUGACACCAGACACUCUCACAUAGUCACCUCUCCAACAUUCAAUCACCAGAAAAGCAAAGUUUUUUAUCAAUUAAAGUGGCAUAGCGUUUCAUCCUUUUUCCAUCAAACAAAACACGCUCAAGAAAUAAAAACCCAAGGGGAUGUGGCAGCUAUGAAUCAACCCCUCUUCAAACUAAAAAGGAAAGAAACCAGCAUCAAGUGUAUCCUCUUCUCCAUCUGGAAAAACGUUCCAGCCUUGCACCAUUCCCGCUCUCUGAGCUCUCGGUCAAAUGAGAUUACGAGAAAAAAAAAUAAAGUUAAGCACUAGCACUCCAAAAUAAAUUAAAGGGCAGAGAAAAAAAAUGGAAUUUCUUCAUUCAACCAUAAAAGCUAAAACCAUAAGUUCCAUUCUAUUCUCCAGAGAGCGUAACAGCAAAGCCAAAAAUGUGCAGAGUAUGUGACGGCUGCUUCUUGAUAAUCCCUAGGUCAGAGAAUUUUUUUUCAAAUGGUGGGGUCCACUUCUAAAGGAAAACCUAGGGCCAUGUCACCAGUUUUCUAUUGGGCUUAGUCUAUUCUAACAAAAUUAGCCCACAAUACAAAAAUUAGUUUAAAAAGCCUAAUCUACUAAAUUAAAAAUUGACUAAUCCUAAAGUGUCUUUGUGGAGAGUCUUCACUUAAUUGGUGCCCUUCCAAAAGUCUCANNNNNNNNNNNNNNNNNNNNNNNNNNNNNNNNNNNNNNNNNNNNNNNNNNNNNNNNNNNNNNNNNNNNNNNNNNNNNNNNNNNNNAGGAAUAAUUAAGCUCAAUUAAUUCAAAUUAAUUAAAAUCAGAAUUAUUGGUCUAAUUAAGCCCAAAUGGUGAAAAUGACACAAUAACUAAGAAUUAAGCGCAAAUCAUCAACACAGUUAGGCGAGAAAAACUAAGUUAAUGGUAUAAAAUAUUGAUUAAUCAAAAUAGACCACACUUAGUCUUUUGCACUCCUGGGCAAAAUCAAGAUGCAAAACAGGAAACAGUACCGAGGUCAUCUGGAAGGUGAUACAGACUCGACAACCAGACAACAAAGACUCACAAAACAGAAAUAGAGUUGCACAAUUCUCACAAAAUCUGGACAGCGAAAGGCAUAGGCAGAAUCCCCACACAAAGUCAAUGAAAGCAGAUACUCACAGAAUCAUCCAAACAGUUCAGUACAUGGAAAACAGUCAAUCAACUCAAGAGAUGAAUCAAAAGCAACAGAGUCUCACAGAUGCACACAAACGGUGUUUCUCUCAAGUGUUUAAGAUAAAUCAAUGUCACUCGAUGCACUCAAGAAAGCAAACACAAAUAGACUUGGCAAGCCUCUAAUAUCAACACUCAAGCACACAUGCAUGUUCAAAUCAAAAGGUCUUUUCAUGGUUGUAAUGGGGCCAAGAACAAGGGAGGAUACAUCUGGAUAAGAAGCUACAAACCAAAAGGAAUAGAGGAGCAAUGGGAAACAAGUGUAAACACAUUCAAACACACCCAUAACCUCGAAUUCCAUCCUCUUCUUUACUCCAUUAUUCACAAUUUUUUUUUUCUUUCUCCUUUUUUUUUAAUCAACACACAAUUCAAAAGACAAGAUACAUGAUAUUUACAGUGCAACCGCAAGAAGAGGACUCACUAGCCAAUUCAUCUGCAACUCCUAAGAGACCACACUUAUUCCCAAAACAAUUCCAAAACUCCAAAAUUCCUAAGGUUCAGGUGAUCAUGGUUUUUCACUUAGGCUAUUGUAUGAGCUUGAAAACAAAGAAAUUGGGGAAUUAUAGGCUCAAGGAGGCUAACAAAGAGAUCAUAACAGGGUAGGCUAUCUGGCUAGAGAGGCUCAAUCAACAAAAUGCCUUUAUCAUUUUCAAACAUGCUCAUGAAUCAAGAAUUAUCAACAGAGUCAAGCCAAGGCAAAUGUGCAAGCAAUCCAGAGGCAUAUCACACACAAGAAAGAUCAUCAAAUGGCUCAAAUCUCACACAGGUAAUUGGUCACAAUUAAUCCAAAUCUCAAACAUCAUGAUUAUCUUCCAAGCAAAGAAGAGCAAGGAGUCCAACAAAACAGAGUAUCAAUGUAGUGAAGGGAAACUAGCAACCUAAUCACAGUCCAGAAUUUACAAAAAGCAUGCAAAACUGUACACAAGACUCAACAAAAUUCACUAGAAAACGAAAUCUAAACAAAGAACAACCUCCCCUAAUAGACCACACUUAAACGACACAAUGUCCUCGUGUGUCACAAUCAGCAGAUCAACAAUUAGCACAGUCAGCAGAUAUAGACAAGGUGCAAUAAAAGUGAGGAGGGAAGGAGAAAAGAAACUCCCUGAGUCAGAUGGGAGGGUAGGUGGGGUGGACCAAAGACACCUCCUCCACCACUGCAUCCAGCAAAGAAGGAUUGCUGAGGAAAGGCUUCAGUCUAUGCCCGUUCACCUUGAAGCUUUUAGCUACAGAUGGACCAUGGAUCUCUACUGCACCAUAAGGAUAAACAUUAGUGAUGGAAAUCCAUUUAGGGCAUUCCACUCAAAGAAGUAGCAACUCAAGCUAAGACUAAGAAAGGGAAGUUAAAGAAGGACUUUCUAACACUUUCUUGACUUCUUUUCUCUAAAGUCUUAGAAGGAUUAACUAAAACAUAUUUACUUUGUUUUGUAGGGUCUAAAUAGAGCUUGGAGACUAUAUGUGAGCCAUCCAAGAAGUAGGAGCAAAGGAAGGAGUACCAUCCAAUAAGAGGAAGCCCAAAGAAGGAUUGCUGCCAGGAGGCGCUCAGCUGCACAGUUAGUACAGCCCAGCGCUGACGUUACAGCAUGUUCCACGUGAAGCAAGCUGACCUGGAGGAGGUGUGAUCCGUGCUUGCUUGAUUUGGCAUAGACACAAUUGUUUGAAUUUUGGGAGGGAAUUGGAUCAGAUUUGAGUCCCCUCUUCACCUAUAAAUAAGAGGGUCUCCUCCUUUGUAAAAUCACUUUUGAGCUAUAGUGAAAUGCUGCAGAAUUCUAAUUCCAGCCCUAUUUGCUCUUGAGUCACUUCUUCUCUUUACUUUCUCUACCCUUCCUCUAGCUUCCUUCCAUCAUAGGAGGGCCUU
rnacentral:lncRNA from 1 species